AGUGAACGCUGGCGGUAGGCCUAACACAUGCAAGUCGAACGGCAGCACAGUAAGAGCUUGCUCUUACGGGUGGCGAGUGGCGGACGGGUGAGGCAUACAUCGGAAUCUACUUUUUCGUGGAGGAUAACGUAGGGCAACUUCCGAUACCGCAGAAUACAUCCUACGGGAGAAAGCAGGGGAUAUUGGCGCUUUGCCCGUUAGAUUGAGACGGUGCCGGAUUUGAUAGUUGGGGGGGUAAGGUCCCACCAAGGCCACGCUACGUAGCCGAUCUGAGAGGAUGAUCCGCCCCCCUGGAACCGAGACACGGUCCCGACUCCCAAGGGAGGGCGCCGUGGGGAAUUUUUGGCCAUGGGCGACAGCCUGACGCCGCCAAGACGCGUGGGUGAAGAAGGUCUUUGGGUUGUAAAACCCUUUUUUUUGGGAAGAAAAAGCGUCAGAUUAACUCCCCGCGUUUUGACGGUACCCCAAAGAAUAGCCACGGCUAACCUCGUG
rnacentral:rRNA from 1 species